UACGGAAGGGGCAAGCGUUGUUCGGAAUCAUUGGGCGUAAAGGGCGCGUAGGCGGUCGUGACAAGUCACUUGUGAAAUCUCCGGGCUUAACUCGGAACGGUCAAGUGAUACUGUCGGACUAGAGUACAGAAGGGGCAACUGGAAUUCUCGGUGUAGCGGUGAAAUGCGUAGAUAUUGGGAGGAACACCGGUGGCGAAGGCGGCCCCCUGGACCGGUACUGACGCUGAGGCGCGAAAGCGUGGGUAGCAAACGGG
rnacentral:rRNA from 1 species